rnacentral:lncRNA from 1 species
GAGGUUGAUUGAAAAUUACGUUGUAUUUACAGACCUCAAAGUUCAGGACAGGUAGAAUAAAUAAAUAAGACUCUAAAAGAGACCCUGACCAAAUUAACCAUGGAGACUGGCACAGACUGGGUGACACUCCUUCCCUCUUGCUCUCUUCAGAGCAAGAAAUAUUCCUUCCAGAUUCAGCUUUACCCCCUUUGAGAUCUUAUAUGGGGUUUCAGCUCCCCUGACUAUAUUAGAUGAUGUUACUGAACCAACAUGUCAUAGUAAUAAUGAUUUAUAUGCCAGGCUAAAAGACCUACAGGUGAUACAGAAAGAAAUCUGCUCACAGCUGACAGCAACCUAUGCCCCGGAGACCCCUGAGACAUGUCAUCAGUUCCAGGUCGGAGACUACAGCUACACUGAGCCCAGACACUCGAGCCUCGCUGGAAAGGACCGUACCUGGUGCUGCUGACCACCCUGACAGCCAUCAAGUCUCAGCCCUCACCAGCAGCGUACUAGCUGUUGGGGCUGAGAGCUGGGACCUAGAGGGACACUCAGAUCUUCAAAAAGCUCCCUAGACUUAAGUGAUUGAGAGGUUGCUAUAAUGCUCACUUGAGGAGUGUGUUUUAGAAACAAGAAUUUCAUGUUUGCCUGUUUGCCCUGGGUUCCCUCGGAAUAGGUGUAAGGAUAGGCUUGAUUUU